UUAGAUCUAUCAAGGAGUUAGCGUGUCCGUUUUUUCAUGAUGCAAAUAAAUCUAAAAGCAAUUUCGGAAACAUCGUUUUCACCCCCCAUGUGGUAAUGGCGGUUGUGGAAGAGAAUCACCUCACCCAGAAGGAUACCGAAAACCGGGCAAAGAGGAGUUUAUGUAGGAAAGCGGACCCUGACAUUGGACCGGGAAAACGCUAAGAAGAAGAAGAUCAUUUUCAACCGUCUCUCUAAGAAAGAGACCACAAGGUAUUUGACAGAUGCCUGAAUCUCGCUUACGACAUUUUUGAGAUAAACUCGCAUAUAUGAGGCCGUCAGCGCAAUAGUGGCCUAACCCACAAUUUUUCAUAAUCAUGUUUAUAAUUAUGUAUAUUGCAAUUUAUUUAAAAUAUAAUAAAUUUUGAUGCAAAA